rnacentral:lncRNA from 10 species
CUUCAGGCUCAGUGUGCUUUCAUCUGUACACAUUAAUGGAAAUCUGGAGAUAGAAAGAUUUGGGUAUUGGUUCAGCAGCUCAAUGAUGCCAGGGCCAGUGUGUUGGCAUUCUUCUGGCCUUAUCCUCAUGGUUGCAAAUUGGUUCCUGCUGUCCCCAGUCAAAGGAGGAAGAAGAGGGAAUUGGCAGCAGUUAUCAGAGCCUUUAUCAGAAAAGCACAGAUUUCCCAGGAAUCCC